rnacentral:rRNA from 1 species
GACGAACGCUGGCGGCGUGCUUAACACAUGCAAGUCGAACGGAAAGGCCCUGCUUUUGUGGGGUGCUCGAGUGGCGAACGGGUGAGUAACACGUGAGUAACCUGCCCUUGACUUUGUGAUAACUUCAGGAAACUGGGGCUAAUACCGGAUAGGAGCUCCUGCUGCAUGGUGGGGGUUGGAAAGUUUCGGCGGUUGGGGAUGGACUCGCGGCUUAUCAGCUUGUUGGUGGGGUAGUGGCUUACCAAGGCUGUGACGGGUAGCCGGCCUGAGAGGGUGACCGGCCACAUUGGGACUGAGAUACGGCCCAGACUCCUACGGGAGGCAGCAGUGGGGAAUAUUGCACAAUGGGCGGAAGCCUGAUGCAGCAACGCCGCGUGCGGGAUGACGGCCUUCGGGUUGUAAACCGCUUUCGACUGUGACGAAGCGUGAGUGACGGUAAUGGGUAAAGAAGCACCGGCUAACUACGUG